rnacentral:rRNA from 1 species
ACUCUCGACAACAGAUAUCUUGGCUCUCGUAUCGAUGAAGAAUGUAGCAAAAUGUGAUGCUUGCUGUGAGUUACAGAAUCUCGUGAACCAUCGAGUCUUUAAAUGCAAGUUUCCCCCGAAGCCAUUAGGCCGAGGGUACUUCUGCCUGGGCGUCACGCAUCGCAUCUCCCCCUUCAUAUCGUGCCUCAAUCAUGGGGUGCGCUGUUGUCACGGGGUGGAUACUGGCCUCCCGUGCACCUUGAGCUCGUGGCUGGCCUAAAUGCGAGUCCAUAUCGACGAACGUACAAAAAGUGGUGGUUGUAUCUCAACUCUCUUUAUUGUUGAGGCAACAGCCCAUCGCGCAUCUAGACUCCAGGACCCUUUCGCACUUAGGCGCUCCGACCGCGACCCCAGGUAAGGUGGGAUUACCCGCUGAUUUUAAUCAUAUCAAUAAGCGAAGGAAAAGAAACUUACCAGGAUUUCUUUAGUAACGGCGAGUGAACCGGGAACACCCUAGCCUUAGAAUUGGGCGGCUCCGUUGUCUGAAUUGUUGUCUGGAGACGCGUCCUCAGGGGCAGACCGGGCCCAAGUCCCCUGGAAGAGGGAUCUAGAGAGGGUGAGAUCCCCGUUGUGCCCAGACCCUAUUGCAUUAUGAGGCACUGUCUACAAGUCGGGUUGUUUAGGAAUGCAGCCCAAAUCGGGCGGUGAAUUCCUUCCAAGGCUAAAUACGGGCGAGAGACCGAUAGAGAACAAGUACUGGGAGGGAAUGAUGAAAAGGACUUUGAAAAGAGAGUCAAAGAGUGCAUGAAAUUGACAGGAGAGAAGUGGAUGGGGGCUGGCGAUGCGCACCGGUCGAAUUUGGAACGGCAACGAGCCGGUCUGCCGAUCGACUCGGGGCGUGGACUAGCGUGGAUUGGAGAGGCGGCCGAAGCCCAGGCUCUCGAUAUGCUCGUAAAUGCCGUCUCCUCGAUUGUGGCAGGCAGCGCGCGCCUCCGGCGUGCUUCGGUAUCUGCACGCUCCGGACGCUGGCCUGUGGGCUCCCCAUUCGACCCAUCUUGAAACACAGACCAAGGAGUAUGACAUGUGUGUGAGUCAACGGGCGAGCAAACCCAUAAGGCGUAAGGAAGCUGACUGGUGGUAUCCCCCUAAGGGGUGCACCACCGACCGACCUUGAUCUUUUGAGAAGGGUUCAAGUGUGAACAUACCUGUCGGGACUCGAAAGAUGGUGAACUAUGCCUGAGCGGGGCGAAGCCAGAGGAAACUCUAGUGGAGGCCCGCAGCGAUACUGACGUGCAAAUCAUUCGUCUGACUUGGGUGUAGGGAUGAAAGACUAAUCAAAUCGUCUAGUAGUUGGUUCCCUCCAAAUUUUACCUCAAGAUAGCUGGAGCUCGCAUGCGAGUUCUAUCGGGUAAAACCAAUGAUUAGAGGCCUCGGGGGCGCAACGCCCUUGACCUAUUCUCAAACUUUAAAUAGGUAGGAUGGCGCGGCUGCUUUGUUGAGCCACGCCACGGAAUCAAGAGCUCCAAGUGGGCCAUUUUUGGUUAGCAGAACUGGUGAUGCGGGAUGAAUUGGAAGCCGGGUUACGGUGUCAAACUGCACGCUAACCUAGAUCUCACAAAGGGUGUUGAUUGGGAAUGGUUCCUUCGGGGGCCUUCCCUGCGCGUCGAACAGCCAACUCAGAACUAGUACGGACAAGGGGAAUCCGACUGUUUAAUUAAAACAAAACAUUGUGAUGGUCCCAACAGAUGUUCACGUAAUGUGAUUUCUGCCCAGUGCUCUGAAUGUCAAAGUAAAGAAAUUCAACCAAGCGCUAGUAAACGGCGGGAGUAACUAUUACUCUCUUAAGGUAGCCAAAUGCCUCAUCAUCUAAUUAGUGAUGCGCAUGAAUGGAUUAACAAGAUUCCCGCUGUCCCUAUCUACUAUCCAGCAAAACCACAGCCAAGGGAACGGGCUUGGCAGAAUCAGCAAAGAAAGAAGACCCUGUUGAGCUUGACUCUACUCCUACUUUAUGAAAUGACUUGAGAGGUGUAGUAGAAGUGGGAGCCGAAAGGCGAAAGUGAAAUACCACUACUUUUAACGUUAUUUUACUUAUUCUGUGAAUCGGAAGCGGGGAACUGCCCCUCUUUUUGGACCCAAGGCUCGUUCUGCGGGCGGAUCCGGGCGGAAGACAUUGUUAGGUGGGGAGUUUGGCUGGGGUGGCACAUUUGUUAAAAGAUAAUGCAGGUGUCCUAAGAUGAGCUCAACGAGAAUAGAAAUAUCGUGUGGAACAGAAGGGUAAAAACUCGUUUGAUUCUAAUUUCCAGUACGAAUACGAACUGUGAAAGAGUGGCCUAACGAUCCUUUAGACUCGCCCAUAUCCCUCUUUCAAAGAUAAUAUAGGAUCCAAAAGUAUACUCAUAUCCCUCAUUCAGUAAUGAUGUGAGAUUUUGGGAAUUUCAUGUUUUUACCCACAAAUUCCAAUUCAACAAACAAAUAUUAGUGAAACCCAACAUCUUUAAUCAAGAAUCUACACUAAUAAUUAAAACCCACUCACAUUUUCACCCUAUUCAAAUGUAAUACCAAGUUGAAUAUUUAACUACUCAUGAAAAUAGGAAAAAGAGAAUUAUCCAAGUUGACAUUCAUUUCCUCAAUUGAAAAUAAAGCAAAGUAAUCCCCAAAUUCCAAGCUCCAAUUACAACUAAAAUAUCCAUUUUGGAAUAUUCAAUACGAUUGUUCUUCUCACACUAGUUGGAUGUUUUCUCUAUAUUCUUCAAAAGUAGUUGGAAGAUGAUGCAAAAUUAAUAGGGUAUUUGCCUUUUGAAGGAUUGGAUUCAUCUAUGUGAAAUGACCAAUCUUCCUUUUGGAAAAUCCCAGGCCUUCAUGAUCGCUAGUCAUUGACCGUGAUCGUGACUCUCAUGAUUGCAUUGGAUCU